rnacentral:rRNA from 1 species
GACGAACGCUGGCGGCGUGCUUAACACAUGCAAGUCGAACGGAAAGGCCCUGCUUGCAGGGUACUCGAGUGGCGAACGGGUGAGUAACACGUGGGUGAUCUGCCCUGCACUUCGGGAUAAGCCUGGGAAACUGGGUCUAAUACCGGAUAUGACCUUCCAUGUAGUGUGGGGGGUGGAAAGAUUUAUCGGUGUGGGAUGAGCCCGCGGCCUAUCAGCUUGUUGGUGGGGUAAUGGCCUACCAAGGCGUCGACGGGUAGCCGGCCUGAGAGGGUGGACGGCCACAUUGGGACUGAGAUACGGCCCAGGCUCCUACGGGAGGCAGCAGUGGGGAAUAUUGCACAAUGGGCGGAAGCCUGAUGCAGCGACGCCGCGUGGGGGAUGACGGCCUUCGGGUUGUAAACCUCUUUCGACAGGGACGAAGCUUCGGUGACGGUACCUGUAUAAGAAGCACCGGCUAACUACGUG